rnacentral:tRNA from 1 species
GGGGCUGUAGCUCAGUAGCAGAGCACUUGUCUAGCACAUAUGAGGCACUGGGUUUGAUCCUCAGCACCA